rnacentral:rRNA from 1 species
CCUACGGGGUGCAGCAGUGGGGAAUAUUGGGCAAUGGGCGCAAGCCUGACCCAGCAACGCCGCGUGAAGGAAGAAGGCUUUCGGGUUGUAAACUUCUUUUAAGAGGGAAGAGCAGAAGACGGUACCUCUUGAAUAAGCCACGGCUAACUACGUGCCAGCAGCCGCGGUAAGACGUAGGUGGCAUGCUUUGUCCGGAUUUACUGGGUGUAACGGGCGUGCAGCCGGGAAGACACGUCAGAUGUGAAAUCCCGCGGCUAAACCGCGGAACUGCGUUUGAAACUGUUGUUCUUGAGUACCGGAGAGGUAAGCGGAAUUCCUGGUGUAGCGGUGAAAUGCGUAGAUAUAAGGAAGAACACCAGUGGCGAAGGCGGAUGACUGGACGGCAACUGACGGUGAGGCGCGAAAGCGUGGGGAGCAAACAGGAUUAGAUACCCCGGUAGUC